CGUAAAGCCCAGCUACAAAAGCAAGCCACCAUUCCUCUCACUCAGAUGCUUUUCGGGCAAAAGGUCUCUCAGCGAGUCCAAGCAAGUCUCCCAAAACCCUCAUUUCUCUCGAUUUCUGCUAAAAAAUCGCUAUUUCUUUCUUCAGUUCCAACCAUUUCAUCGAUUGAUGGCAAAAGGAGCUUCAAAAUUCUCAUUUCUCGGACAUGCAGAGAUGUCAGAUUAGAACUUUGUGAAUGAAGACUAAAGCAGAGGAGCAGUUAAAAGAGAGGGAGGAUUGCAAUGGAGAUUAUAAGCAGUUUAAAAGAAAUGUUGCUGACUCAAUUGCAUUUGGGAAGUUAAGAGGGAAAAUCAGUAGAAGGAAUCUUAUAUCGGUUGAUGUUAAUGAUAAGGAAAUCAGUAGGAGGAAUCUGAUAUUGGUUCGUUUCAAUCAUCUUACUUUAAGGUCAACCAAGGUGGACUCGAUAGACUAAUCAAACUUUCAUCUAUAUUUUCUGAAGACCCAUCUGUGCUACAAGAGGUACAUUGAGAGAUGAGUUGUGCCAGACUUAAAGUUGAAUACAUACGAUAAGAUAGAUUGCUAUGCACUUGCAAAUCCAUUACUUUGUUUUAUGAGAAAUGCAAAAGGGACCAGCCUGAGUGGCAUUCCAUGGAACUUCCAUUCUAUAAACAUGUUUGCAAUGGAGAUUAUAAGCCUUUUCAACAUGUAUGGUGAUCUAUUUAGCCUUUUAAGCAUGAUAGGCUAUCCUUAGGUAACUGUUGCAUUAACUGUAUACUCUGUACUAAAUUUUCUCUUUAUGGUAGUGUAAUAGUGCUUGAGGAACUACUUACAUGUUGUCUAUGCAGGAUGACAUGUGCACUACAUGACUUUGCAUGCACCUAGAUUGGCUCUAAAAGUCCACACAGUUAUUAAAAAAUAAAA